rnacentral:tRNA from 1 species
AGGCCUAUAGCUCAGUUGGUUAGAGCCCCUCGCUCAUAACGAGGUUGUCACAGGUUCAAGUCCUGUUAGGCCUACCA